rnacentral:lncRNA from 1 species
CGUGAUUGUCUUUUCCGCUUCGCCUCGCUUUCUUACGACGUCCACGGGACCCUCCAAAUUCCCCCCGAUCUCCCUUUGUUCCCCGGCCUGGCAGGGCACGUCCAGACGCUCCACCGCAACCCCUCAAGAACUUGGCUAGGCUUGGCCACUUCCUCCCUCCAGGGAAGGCUAUCGCGGGGCUCUUGCCGCUUCCCCGGCCCCGAUCCGCCCCGGCACAGGCGGAGCGAUCCCCGGCCCCCCAUUUUCUCUGCCCUAGCCCGACUCUCCGGUGGAGCCCCGCGCGUCGCCCUCCGUUCACACGUUCCCUCGGACGGCAGACCCCCCCCCCUCCCCGGCCGAGCCUCUCCUUCGGCCCCCGAUCUCCCACAAUCCUCGCUCGGGAGGCCAAUCGCGCGGAGCUUGCUUGCGUUACACGCCGCCACAAACUCCGCCUCCGCCUCCUCCUCCUCCUUCCCCUUCUCUGGCUCUCCCUCUCCGGGUGCUCCGAGCGAGUCCUGCGCCCGGGAUGCCGCUGCGCGGAGGAGGAGGAGGAGGAAGGGAAGACCCCGCCGCCCGAAGGGGGACGCGUUCAGACGUCGCUGGAGGGCGAGCGUGAAAGCACGCGUGUCGCCGCCUCGCCUGGACGCCGCCCCAGAUCUGAGCCUAUGGUUCUCUUCUAUCCUGUUCUCAUCAGCCUGCAAGAUACAUUCGGCUGGAAUAGAGUCACACAAUCGAGGGCUUUCUGUGAGCUGUAAGGCCACACAGGCAACUGAAAUGCAGUCACUCUGCUCCGAAUCUAACUUAAAGGCGGGCAAGGGGAUCUUUCCAGAUAGUGGUUGGACUCCAGCUCCGAUCGGCCCUAGCAAGCACAGCAAAUGGUGAGGAACGUCGUCCUCGGGAGUUGCAUUCCAAGCCUCUCCAGAGGCACAGCUGCCCAGCCCCAAUCUCGCCACCAGAUGCCUUAACUUGUGUCCACACAAUCAUGUUGGAGAAGUGCCUUUGCCCAGGUUCAGAGUGACUCAGAAUCUUCAAAUACCCCAGGUGAGUCCCGGCUCGUAUCUGACUCGUCUAUUUCAGAACUGUCACCCGGGCGGGGGGGG